CAGCCGCCGCGGUAAUACGAAGGGGGCUAGCGUUGCUCGGAAUCACUGGGCGUAAAGGGUGCGUAGGCGGGUCUUUAAGUCAGGGGUGAAAUCCUGGAGCUCAACUCCAGAACUGCCUUUGAUACUGAAGAUCUUGAGUUCGGGAGAGGUGAGUGGAACCGCGAGUGUAGAGGUGAAAUUCGUAGAUAUUCGCAAGAACACCAGUGGCGAAGGCGGCUCACUGGUCCAUUACUGACGCUGAGGUGCGAAAGCGAGGGGAGCAAACAGGAUUAGAUACCCGUGUAGUCCCUGUCUCUUAUAC
rnacentral:rRNA from 1 species